GUGUCAGCAGCCGCGGUAAUACAGAGGUCCCAAGCGUUGUUCGGAUUCAUUGGGCGUAAAGGGUGCGUAGGCGGUGAAGUAAGUUGGAUGUGAAAUCCCGGGGCUUAACCCCGGAACUGCAUUCAAUACUGCUUUGCUAGAGUACUGGAGAGGAGAUUGGAAUUCACGGUGUAGCAGUGAAAUGCGUAGAUAUCGUGAGGAAGACCAGUGGCGAAGGCGAAUCUCUGGACAGUUACUGACGCUGAGGCACGAAGGCUAGGGGAGCAAACGGGAUUAGAUACCCCGGUAGUCC
rnacentral:rRNA from 1 species